rnacentral:rRNA from 1 species
GCAGUCGAGCGGACAGAUGGGAGCUUGCUCCCUGAUGUUAGCGGCGGACGGGUGAGUAACACGUGGGUAACCUGCCUGUAAGACUGGGAUAACUCCGGGAAACCGGGGCUAAUACCGGAUGGUUGUUUGAACCGCAUGGUUCAAACAUAAAAGGUGGCUUCGGCUACCACUUACAGAUGGACCCGCGGCGCAUUAGCUAGUUGGUGAGGUAACGGCUCACCAAGGCAACGAUGCGUAGCCGACCUGAGAGGGUGAUCGGCCACACUGGGACUGAGACACGGCCCAGACUCCUACGGGAGGCAGCAGUAGGGAAUCUUCCGCAAUGGACGAAAGUCUGACGGAGCAACGCCGCGUGAGUGAUGAAGGUUUUCGGAUCGUAAAGCUCUGUUGUUAGGGAAGAACAAGUACCGUUCGAAUAGGGCGGUACCUUGACGGUACCUAACCAGAAAGCCACGGCUAACUACGUGCCAGCAGCCGCGGUAAUACGUAGGUGGCAAGCGUUGUCCGGAAUUAUUGGGCGUAAAGGGCUCGCAGGCGGUUUCUUAAGUCUGAUGUGAAAGCCCCCGGCUCAACCGGGGAGGGUCAUUGGAAACUGGGGAACUUGAGUGCAGAAGAGGAGAGUGGAAUUCCACGUGUAGCGGUGAAAUGCGUAGAGAUGUGGAGGAACACCAGUGGCGAAGGCGACUCUCUGGUCUGUAACUGACGCUGAGGAGCGAAAGCGUGGGGGAGCGAACAGGAUUAGAUACCCUGGUAGUCCACGCCGUAAACGAUGAGUGCUAAGUGUUAGGGGGUUUCCGCCC